rnacentral:rRNA from 1 species
AGUGAACGCUGGCGGUAGGCCUAACACAUGCAAGUCGAACGGCAGCACAGUAAGAGCUUGCUCUUACGGGUGGCGAGUGGCGGACGGGUGAGGAAUACAUCGGAAUCUACUUUUUCGUGGGGGAUAACGUAGGGAAACUUACGCUAAUACCGCAUACGACCUACGGGUGAAAGCAGGGGAUCUUCGGACUUUGCGCGAUUGAAUGAGCCGAUGUCGGAUUAGCUAGUUGGCGGGGUAAAGGCCCACCAAGGCGACGCUCCGUAGCUGGGCUGAGAGGAUGAUCAGGCACACGGGAACUGAGACACGGUCCAGACUCCUACGGGAGGCAGCAGUGGGGAAUAUUGGACAAUGGGCGCAAGCCUGAUCCAGCCAUACCGCGUGGGUGAAGAAGGCCUUCGGGUUGUAAAGCCCUUUUGUUGGGAAAGAAAAGCAGCAGGUUAAUACCCCGCUGUUCUGACGGUACCCAAAGAAUAAGCACCGGCUAACUUCGU